rnacentral:rRNA from 1 species
CACGUAGGCACCAAGCGUUGUCCGGAUUUAUUGGGCGUAAAGAGCUCGUAGGCGGUUGAGUAAGUCGGGUGUGAAAACUCAGGGCUUAACCCUGAGCUUGCAGUGGGUACGGGCAGACUAGAGUGCGGUAGGGGAGACUGGAAUUCCUGGUGUAGCGGUGAAAUGCGCAGAUAUCAGGAGGAACACCGGUGGCGAAGGCGGGUCUCUGGGCCGUAACUGACGCUGAGGAGCGAAAGCAUGGGGAGCGAACAGG